rnacentral:rRNA from 1 species
AUAGGGAAACUCCGUGUCAAAGCGCCCAAUCUUGGGCCGUCUAUCGACAGGGAAUCGGGUUAAUAUUCCCGACCUUGCACACGGAGAUUGUCCUUAAUUGGACGCCAAUGUGGUAACACAAUCGAUUUCGGAGACGUCGGCGGAGGUUUCGGGAAGAGUUCUCUUUUCUUUGUAAAGACCGAAAUCCCUGGAAUCGGGUUAUCCGGAGAUAGGGAUUAAGGGUCUGUAAAGCACUGCGGUUCUUGUGGUGUCCGAAACGCUUCUGUCGGCCCUUGAAAAUCCGAAGGAGAUGGUAUAAUUUUCGUGGCAAGCCGUACCCAUAUCCGCAGCAGGUCUCCAAGG